ACGAUGGAAGUCGGGGGUACCGGUCGGAAGUCGAUCACCGCCAAGGAGUCGCCGAGGGUAAAACCGAUGACUGGCGCU
rnacentral:rRNA from 1 species